rnacentral:rRNA from 1 species
AUUGAACGCUGGCGGCAGGCCUAACACAUGCAAGUCGAACGAGUGGCGGAAGUGUGAGCAAUGUCUCGGAAACUGCCUGAUGGAGGGGGAUCACUACUGGAAACUGUAGCUACUACCGCAUUCCAUCGGCUGUGCCGAGAUGGGAUUAGCUAGUGGGUGGGGGAAAGGCUCACCUAGGCCACGAUCUCUAGCUGGUCUGAGAGGAUGACCAGCCACACUGGAACUGAGACACGGUCCAGACUCCGACGGGAGGCAGCAGUGGGGAAUAUUGCACAAUGGGCGCAAGCCUGAUGCAGCCAUGCCGCGUGUAUGAAGAAGGCCUUCGGGUUGUAAAGUACUUUCAGCGGGGAGGCGUUACCCGCAGAAGAAGCACCGGCUAACUCCGUGCCAGCCGCCGCGGUAAUAC